rnacentral:rRNA from 1 species
ACGGAAGGCAGCAGUGGGGAAUAUUGCACAAUGGGCGCAAGCCUGAUGCAGCGACGCCGCGUGAGUGAAGAAGUGUUUCGGUAUGUAAAGCUCUAUCAGCAGGGAAGAAAAUGACGGUACCUGACUAAGAAGCCCCGGCUAACUACGUGCCAGCAGCCGCGGUAAUACGUAGGGGGCAAGCGUUAUCCGGAUUUACUGGGUGUAAAGGGAGCGUAGACGGCAAGGCAAGUCUGAUGUGAAAGGCAGGGGCUCAACUCCUGGACUGCAUUGGAAACUGUCUGGCUAGAGUACCGGAGGGGUAAGCGGAAUUCCUAGUGUAGCGGUGAAAUGCGUAGAUAUUAGGAGGAACACCAGUGGCGAAGGCGGCUUACUGGACGGUAACUGACGUUGAGGCUCGAAAGCGUGGGGAGCAAACAGGAUUAGAUACCCUGGUA